rnacentral:lncRNA from 1 species
AGCAGAAUAACUCAUCCUCUCCCCAGAGAUGUCCGUUCUCUAAUCCGUGAAACGGGUGAACAUGUUACCUUCCAUGGCAAAAGGGACUUGGCAGAUGCAAUUAAGGUAUGGACCUUGAAUUGGGAAGAGUUCCCUAGAGUGUCCAGGUGGAUCCAAUAUAACUACAUGAGUUUUUAGAAGUGGAAGAGUAAGACAGAAGAGUGGGUCAGAGAGAUGCAACAACGGAAGAAGAGGAGGAGAAGUGGCAGCUUGAGAGAAACUCAACCCACUACUGCUGGCUUUAAAAAUGGAGGAAGAGGGCCAGGCGCGGUGGCUCAUGCUUGUAAUCCCAGCACUUUGGGAGGCAAAGUUGUGCGGAUCACGAGGUCAGGAGUUUGAGACAAGCCUGAUCAACAUGGUGAAACCCCAUCUCUAAAAAAAUACAAAAAUUAGCUGGGUGUAGUGGUGCGCGCCUAUAGUCCCAGCUGCUCAGGAGUCUGAGGCAGGGGAAUGGCGUGAACCCGGGAAGCGGAGCUUGCAGUGAGCCGAGAUCGCACCACUGCACUCCAGCCCGGGCAACAGAGUGAGACUCCAUCUCAAAAGAAAAAAAAAAGAAAGAAAAUGGAGGAAGGAGACCCACCAUGAGCCAAGGAAUGCAGAUGGCUUCUCAAAGCUGAGAACAGUCCUUAGCUGAUAGCCAGAGCAAGAUAAUAAAGACCUCAGUUCUACAAUCACAAGGAACUGAAUUCUGCCAACAACCUGAAUGCACCAAGAGACAGACUCUUCCAAAGAUCCCUCAGAAAGAGACACAGACGUGCAGGUAUCUUGAUUUCAGCCUCACAGACACCCAUGUCAGACUUCUGACCUGCAGAACUCUAAGGUAGAAGGAAAAGAAGACAAAAGAUGUACCAGAACUUCACUUUUUACCACUGACACGAGCUACUUCUUUGUUGAAUCAGGUACACAGGACACACCAGAAAUAAAGCACUCCCACCCCAGUGAAGGGGAGAGAGUGUCCCCUACCUUCUACUUGAUAAGCUGCAGUGGCUGCCGCCCAUCCAAAUCCUGCAGGGAAAGCCAUGGUUUAAGAAGCUGUCUACUGGGAUCUUCAGCUGCCAGAAGCAGAGCACCCUUUGGCCAGAGGAGCCAGGCAAUUGUGCAAACAGAAAAUGAGCUCUCACCCUAGAAUGAAGCCUCAGAAUACAAAUAUUUAUGCAAACAACAAGGAAGCAGGGGCAAAGGACACUUGACUGCCACAGCCUUGAUAAGAAUCCAAGAUACUUUGUACAAGGCCAUCAUUUAUACUUUCUUCCCCCAGCACUCCCUGAUUCUUAACAGAGUUGAUAACCCUGGGUGCUAAGUCCCUGAUUUGGCAGGGCACCCAUUUACCUGAUGUUUUGCCUUUUAAAGUAACAUGAACAUUGUUUUAAAAAGUCAUUAUCAUCCUACUAGAAUUUUCCCUUAGUUCAUUCAUCCCAAUUCCUGAUCCGUACUCUGUAGAGGUAACCACUUUUAACCAUUUCUUCUGAUAUUUAAUCCCAUAUUGUGUAAAUAAUAGGGUGUUGCUGCUUAUUUUUUUCAAUUUUAGAUAAUUAUUGACUUCUGGGUAUAGGGCAGAGGAUCUAGCACUCUCUCUCUCUGUUCCUCCUCCCUCCUUCUCUUCCACCUUCUCCCAUCUGGCCAACAUGAUAAAAUUACCUUUUCAUUUAAAUGAAUUCAAUAUUUAUAUUUCUAUGAGUCUGUAUGGCUCAAAGCUGAGCCAUAUAGUAUACAUACCAUGCUUCCAUGCAACUUUUAAUUUUCUCUAGGGUUAAUCCACUGCCUGAUCUUUAUGUUUAUUUCAUCUUCUUUACACCUAUUACUAAUUCAUCCCCAAACACUCUGACAGAAGAAUACAUCUCUGAGUUGUUCAAACAACUCUGUCUUCCUGCUCCAUUCUGCACUGUUUAUUUUUUAGGACACCACAGAGCUUUGACCCACGAUCUCCUUCACAUCAUUCAGAGAGGCUCCUUCACCUCUCCCCUGGUCUUUCUGUUUCUUUUCCCGCUUUAGAGAAGCACAUCCUCAAAUAACUGUCUGAUAAAGGGGGCAUGGGACAUAAAUAUUUCAAAACUCUGUAGUUGCUCUGGAAUUGUCUUUAGUCUAACAUUGCUCUUAAUAUGCAGUUUUGUACAGGAUUUUAUGAUGAAAAUAAUUUUCACUCAGAAUUUUGAAGGCAUUGGUUCCUGAUUUUCUAGCUUCUGGUGUGGCUACUGACAAGUUUGAUGAGAAUACAAGUCCUGUUCUUUUAUAUGUAAACUUUUUUAUUUCCCCAGCCCACCCUCUCUGACCCCCAAGUUUCUGUUUCUGAAAUUUCAGUCAUGUUCAUUGGUGUGGAACUUCUGUCCAUUGUGCCAGGAACCCAGUGGGUAUGGGUUUCCACAGAAAUGUACAUGUUAACAGUAGGGGAAACUGGAUGAGGGGCCAUGGGAACUCCCUGUACUAUCUUUGAAGCUUCUGUGUAAAUCUAAAAUUGAUCCAAAAUAAAAAGUUUAUUUAAAAAAAAAUGACUAUGGAUUGGGAGGCC